ACUCAGCUAAUGAGUCUCAAAUAGGACGAAACGCGCAUCCUGGAU
rfam:Schistosoma rodhaini strain Burundi genome assembly, scaffold: SROB_scaffold0007949